AUUUGGGUGAGGAUAAGCCAUGCGAGUCGAAUGGGAUACCUAAAUUUCCCAUGGCGAACUGCUCAGUAACACAUGAUCAACUUACCCUAUUGAGAAAGAUAACCUCGGGAAACUGAGGAUAAUAUUUCAUAGUUGAAUUGGCUUGGAAAAGUUUUUCAACAAAAGGGAUAGGGAAAAUGGUCUCUAUCCGCUAUAGGAUAGGAUCGUGUUCGAUUAUGGUAGUUGGUGAGGUAACGGCUCACCAAGCCGAUAAUCGAUAGGGGCCGUGAGAGCGGGAGCCCCGAGAUGGGUACUGAGACAACGACCCAGGCCUUACGAGGCGCAGCAGGUGCGAAACCUCCACAAUACACGAAAGUGUGAUGGGGUUACCCAAAGUGUUCAUUAUUGAACUGUGGUAGGAGAGUAAUGUCCCCUACUAGAAAGGAGAGGGCAAGGCUGGUGCCAGCCGCCGCGGUAAAACCAGCUCUUCAAGUGGUCGGGAUAAUUAUUGGGCUUAAAGUGUCCGUAGCCGGUUUGGUAAGUUCCUGGUAAAAUCGGAUAGCUUAACUAUCUGUAUGCUAGGAAUACUGCUAUACUAAAGGGCGGGAGAGGUCUGAGGUACUACAGGGGGUAGGGGGUGAAAUCUUAUAAUCCUGCCAGGACCACC
rnacentral:rRNA from 1 species